rnacentral:rRNA from 1 species
AUUGAACGCUGGCGGCAGGCCUAACACAUGCAAGUCGAGCGAGCGGCGGACGGGUGAGUAAUGUCUGGGGAUCUGCCCGAUAGAGGGGGAUCACUACUGGAAACGGUGGCUAAUACCGCAUACUAUCGGAUGUGCCCCUAUGGGAUUAGCUCGUAGGUGGGGUAAAGGCUCACCUAGUCGACGCUCCCUAGCUGGUCUGAGAGGAUGACCAGCCACACUGGAACUGAGACACGGUCCAGACUCCUACGGGAGGCAGCAGUGGGGAAUAUUGCACAAUGGGCGCAAGCCUGAUGCAGCCAUGCCGCGUGUAUGAAGAAGGCCUUAGGGUUGUAAAGUACUUUCAGCGGGGAGGCGUUACCCGCAGAAGAAGCACCGGCUAACUCCGUGCCAGCAGCCGCGGUAAUUC